CAGCAGCCGCGGUAAUACAGAGGAUCCAAGCGUUAUCCGGAAUCAUUGGGUUUAAAGGGUCCGUAGGCGGUCUUGUAAGUCAGUGGUGAAAGCCCAUCGCUCAACGGUGGAACGGCCAUUGAUACUGCAGGACUUGAAUUAUUGGGAAGUAACUAGAAUAUGUAGUGUAGCGGUGAAAUGCUUAGAGAUUACAUGGAAUACCAAUUGCGAAGGCAGGUUACUACCAAUUGAUUGACGCUGAUGGACGAAAGCGUGGGUAGCGAACAGGAUUAGAGACCCCCGUAGUCCCUGUCUCUUAUAC
rnacentral:rRNA from 1 species